UAACAGGUGACGGGGAAUCAGGGUUCGAUUCCGGAGAGGGAGCCUGAGAAACGGCUACCACAUCCAAGGAAGGCAGCAGGCACGCAAAUUACCCACUCUCAGAACGAGGAGGUAGUGACGAAAAAUAACAAUACAGGACUAUUAAUAGGCCCCGUAAUUGGAAUGAGUACAAUAUAAAUCCUUUAACGAGGAUCUAUUGGAGGGCAAGUCUGGUGCCAGCAGCCGCGGUAAUUCCAGCUCCAAUAGCGUAUAUUAAAGUUGCUGCGUUUAAAAAGCUCGUAGUUGUAUCUCAGUUCAUGUCAAUUGGUCAAUCACUUAAUAGUGAUUACUUUUUGACUGAACAUUAAACCGAUUUGUUUUCUGAUGCUCUUUACCGAGUGUU
rnacentral:rRNA from 1 species